rnacentral:rRNA from 1 species
UACGUAGGGGGCAAGCGUUGGUCCGGAUUUACUGGGCGUAAAGAGCGUGUAGGCGGCCACGCAGGUCCGUUGUGAAACUGGAGACUCAACCUCCAGCUGUCGACGGAAACCGUGUGGCUAGAGUCCGGAAGAGGAGAGUGGAAUUCCUGGUGUAGCGGUGAAAUGCGCAGAUAUCAGGAAGAACACCAAUGGCGAAGGCAGCUCUCUGGGACGGUACUGACGCUGAGACGCGAAAGCGUGGGGAGCGAACAGG